rnacentral:rRNA from 1 species
CCUACGGGUGGCAGCAGUGAGGAAUAUUGGUCAAUGGGCGGAAGCCUGAACCAGCCAAGCCGCGUGAAGGACGACUGCCCUAUGGGUUGUAAACUUCUUUUGUAUGGGGGUAAAAUGCUCCACGUGUAGGGUUUUGUAUGUACCGUAUGAAUAAGGAUCGGCUAACUCCGUGCCAGCAGCCGCGGUAAUACGGAGGAUCCGAGCGUUAUCCGGAUUUAUUGGGUUUAAAGGGAGCGUAGGUGGGUUUGUAAGUCAGUGGUGAAAUUCUGAGGCUCAACCUUAGAGCUGCAGCUGAAACUGGAAGUCUUGAGUACAGGAGAGGCUGGCGGAAUGUGUGGUGUAGCGGUGAAAUGCGUAGAUAUUACGCAGAACGCCGAUUGCGAAGGCAGCUUACUGGACCGCAACUGACACUGAGGCACGAAAGCGUGGGGAUCAAACAGGAUUAGAUACCCCGGUAGUC